GGUAGAUUAUAAUGCUUUACUUUUUUGUGGAGGGUUGAUUUCUUCCUUGUAAAGAUAAGAGAUUCCUAAACAAACAGGACCCUUAGAGUCCUAUAUAAAUCUUUGUAUCUUUCAUGAAAAACAUAAUGAAUAAUUUUACAAACUUCAUAAAUACUUGUGUCAAUCGCUCCGAGAGGGAGAGGGUGUGAGACCCAAAAUCGCCCCACAAGGGGAGGGUGUGAGGCCCACUUUCUAUCCUAUUCCUUCUACUUAAGAUUCAGUAUUCCUACGACUCUGAUCGACUCCACCAUCUACCCACGCAAGCUUAUUCCGUCAAGAGAGGAUCUGUCUCCUCCAGAAUUUUCAUCUAUCGUGCUGAGAGGAGUGAUUUUUUAUUCUACAGAUCAUAUGCUGUCAAGGACCUUCGUUCCUUAACAGUUGAUCUUUGAUUUUUUUUAAUCCGAUGUUGGUAAAGACUUAGUUCUUUAUCGAUGGAUCUGUUUGGUUAAAAGAUUAAGAGCCCUAAUCAGAGUAGUUUCUUAACUACCACGAUCCGGAUUCUUAUUAUCUUCUUGGAUUUUCUCAUGGGUUUAAUGUUUU
rnacentral:lncRNA from 1 species